UUAUGAUUCUUAUUAUAUAUAAUUGAAUUUUUUUCUUUUCUUAGUAUAACUUUUUUUUUUCCUUUCACAUAUAUAUAUAUAUAUAAUAUUUAUAUUUAUGAGGUUAAAUAAAAGAAUCUUAAAAGUUAUAUUAUAAAAAAAGUAAAAAAUAUAUAUAUAUAUAUAUAUAUAUAUUUUAUACCUUUAAGGUUUAAUUUUUUGCAAUCCGCCAUUUUUCUCUUCUUAUAAAAGAAAAAUGUAUAAACCCAAUUUUUCUUUCUUUUUGAAUAUAAUUAUAUUUAUAUGUAUAGAUAUAUAUUUAUAUUUAUUUAUUUUAUAAUUUAUAUUAUAUUAUUUGUUUUCCUUUUUUUUUUUUUUUUUCUCUUUUUUUUUCUUCUGUUUUUUUUUUUUCAUUUUUCUUAUUUUCAUUAUUUGUUUUUGUUUUUGUUACAACCAUAUAAAAUAGUUGUAUAAUUCUUCUAUAUUAUAUAUUAUAUAUUUUUUUUUUUUUUUUUUU